rnacentral:rRNA from 1 species
UACGUAGGGUGCGAGCGUUGUCCGGAAUUACUGGGCGUAAAGAGCUCGUAGGUGGUUUGUCGCGUUGUCCGUGAAAACUCACAACUCAAUUGUGGGCGUGCGGGCGAUACGGGCAGACUGGAGUACUGCAGGGGAGACUGGAAUUCCUGGUGUAGCGGUGGAAUGCGCAGAUAUCAGGAGGAACACCGGUGGCGAAGGCGGCUCUCUGGGACGGUACUGACGCUGAGACGCGAAAGCGUGGGGAGCGAACAGG